GGACAUGUGCCUGAAAGUUAAGGCUUACUUUGAUAGAGUAAUUAAUAGGGGCUCAAAUCCCCUCAUUUCCU
rnacentral:tRNA from 1 species